rnacentral:rRNA from 1 species
UACGAAGGGGGCUAGCGUUGUUCGGAUUUACUGGGCGUAAAGCGCACGUAGGCGGAUCGUUAAGUCGGGGGUGAAAUCCUGGAGCUCAACUCCAGAACUGCCUUCGAUACUGGCGAUCUUGAGUCCGGAAGAGGUGAGUGGAACUCCUAGUGUAGAGGUGGAAUUCGUAGAUAUUCGCAAGAACACCAGUGGCGAAGGCGGCCUGCUGGGCUCUUGCUGACACUGAGGCGCGACAGCGUGGGGAGCAAACAGG